AAGGCUAAAUACUCCUGACUGACCGAUAGUGAACCAGUACCGUGAGGGAAAGGCGAAAAGAACCCCGGCGAGGGGAGUGAAAAAGAACCUGAAACCGUGUACGUACAAGCAGUGGGAGCCCCACCACCAAAGCAUUCUCUGGUGUUGAAGGCCCUGCAAAGCAGCAUCGCGGUGGCGGAGCGUCGUUUGCGACGCCCAACACACAAAACAAGCGGUGAAUGCUUUGGGGUGGGGUGACUGCGUACCUUUUGUAUAAUGGGUCAGCGACUUAUAUUCUGUAGCAAGGUUAACCGAGUAGGGGAGCCGGAGGGAAACCGAGUCUUAAUUGGGCGUUAAGUUGCAGGGUAUAGACCCGAAACCCGGUGAUCUAGCCAUGGGCAGGUUGAAGGUUGGGUAACACUAACUGGAGGACCGAACCGACU
rnacentral:rRNA from 1 species